UGGGCGUAAAGCGCGCGUAGGCGGUCUGAUAAGCCGGUUGUGAAAGCCCCGGGCUCAACCUGGGAACGGCAUCCGGAACUGUCAGGCUAGAGUGCAGGAGAGGAAGGUAGAAUUCCCGGUGUAGCGGUGAAAUGCGUAGAGAUCGGGAGGAAUACCAGUGGCGAAGGCGGCCUUCUGGACUGACACUGACGCUGAGGUGCGAAAGCGUGGGUAGCAAACAGGAUUAGAUACCCUGGUAGUCCACGCCGUAAACGAUGUCGACUAGCCGUUGGGGUCCUUGAGACCUUUGUGGCGCAGUUAACGCGAUAAGUCGACCGCCUGGGGAGUACGGCCGCAAGGUUAAAACUCAAAUGAAUUGACGGGGGCCCGCACAAGCGGUGGAGCAUGUGGUUUAAUUCGAUGCAACGCGAAGAACCUUACCUACCCUUGACAUCGUGCGAACUUUCCAGAGAUGGAUUGGUGCCUUCGGGAACGCACAGACAGGUGCUGCAUGGCUGUCGUCAGCUCGUGUUGUGAAAUGUUGGGUUAAGUCCCGUAACGAGCGCAACCCUUGUCCUUAUUUGCCAGCGAGUAAUGUCGGGAACUCUAAGGAGACUGCCGGUGACAAACCGGAGGAAGGUGGGGACGACGUCAAGUCAUCAUGGCCCUUACGGGUAGGGCUACACACGUGCUACAAUGGCCGGUACAAAGGGUUGCGAAGCCGCGAGGUGGAGCUAAUCCCGAAAAGCUGGUCUCAGUCCGGAUCGGAGUCUGCAACUCGACUCCGUGAAGUCGGAAUCGCUAGUAAUCGUGAAUCAGAAUGUCACGGUGAAUACGUUCCCGGGCCUUGUACACACCGCCCGUCACACCAUGGGAGUGGACUGCACCAGAAGUGGUUAGCCUAACUUCGGAGGCGAUCACACGGUGUGGUCAUGACUGGGG
rnacentral:rRNA from 1 species